rnacentral:lncRNA from 1 species
AGUCCUUCGCCGUCCCUCGCCGUCCUUCGCCAUCGCACGCCACCGCACCCCAUCUCUCGAAAUCUGCAGACAUCUUGAUUUUUCCCACGCUGUCUGUCAGGUCUCCGCCGCCACUCGACGCCAGGGCGCCGGGCCUUGUGGGCUGUGCUGCACCUCGGACGGCUUCGCACCAGCCAGCGCCCUCUCUCUCCUGCAGCACUCUGAUCUGCACCCCCUGAGGGGCUUCCACUGUCCGCGGGGUGAGAAUGCCCCUGGGAGUGUCACAUGACUGCCGCCCCAUGUGUGUGAGAGGCGUCCUCUGGGAGAGCAUGGAUCCUGAGGUCCCAGGAUUGUCAGCUGACCUCUGUCCUGUGUGCCCAGUGGCCCCAGGUGACGUGUCUUCAAGAAGAGGCUGAGCUGCGGUGCUUGUAAGGCAGGGUCUCAUUCUGUCACCCAGGCUGGAGUGCAGUGGUGCAAUGAUGGCUCACUGCAGCCUCGACCUGGGCUCAAGUGAUCCUCCACCUCAGCUUCCUGAGUAGCUGGGACCACAGAGUCAUGUGCUGUUCCUGGGGCUUGGAUGAUGUAGGGGAAGCAAGGUGAAAGUGGUAUCCCGUGGUUCCACGUUCUGUCCUGCUGUGGGGCUGUCCCUCACAUGCUUUCAGUGGCUGUUGCAGAGGAAGAGCCUCCGGAAAUCUGCGUCUCAGCCUUAGAUCCAAGGACAGUCCAAGGAAGUCCUAAGACCAUGGAGUUGGUGAUCUGGGAUCUGGGUUUGCUGAUAUUUCUCACCGUGAAUCUCUUGGUGGUGUUUGUGGGCACGAGAGGGGCAGAGAAUGGAGAGUGAGGCUACCACAUGAAGCGUCACCAGAGCUGCUCCCUGCUGCCUGCUCAGAGCACCCCGGAUCCACUGUUCAAUCUGCACAAGAUUCGGGGUCCAGACAUGGGAGACUUCAGCUGCCUCAGAGGACCGUGGACAGGGAAGGCCAGCCUCGCAUCCCUCUGUCCAUGCCUGGAAUGACUUUAAUAACCAAGAGUUUUAUUUUUGAAUUUGUAGCUGUCGUUCACUUUUUACCCACCCAUUCAAUAAACCUUACAGAAUUGCUCCA